rnacentral:rRNA from 1 species
CGGGGGGGCAAGCGUUGUUCGGAAUUACUGGGCGUAAAGGGCGCGUAGGCUGUUUGCUAAGUUGGAUGUGAAAACUCUGGGCUUAAUCCAGAGCCUGCAUCCAAAACUGGCAGGCUGGAGUUUUGGAGGGGGAAGCGGAAUUCCUGGUGUAGCAGUGAAAUGCGUAGAUAUCAGGAGGAACACCGGUGGCGAAGGCGGCUUCCUGGACAAAAACUGACGCUGGGGCGCGAAAGCUAGGGGAGCAAACAGGAUUAGAUACCCUGGUAGUCCUAGCCCUAAACGAUGGAUACUUGCUGUGAGGGGGAUUGAAUCCCUUCGUGGCGAAGCUAACGCAUUAAGUAUCCCGCCUGGGGAGUACGGUCGCAAGGCUG